rnacentral:rRNA from 1 species
GAUGAACGCUGGCGGCGUGCCUAAUACAUGCAAGUCGAGCGAACAGACGAGGAGCUUGCUUCUCUGACGUUAGCGGCGGACGGGUGAGUAACACGUGGAUAACCUACCUAUAAGACUGGGAUAACUUCGGGAAACCGGAGCUAAUACCGGAUAAUAUAUUGAACCGCAUGGUUCAAUAGUGAAAGACGGUUUUGCUGUCACUUAUAGAUGGAUCCGCACCGCAUUAGCUAGUUGGUAAGGUAACGGCUUACCAAGGCAACGAUGCGUAGCCGACCUGAGAGGGUGAUCGGCCACACUGGAACUGAGACACGGUCCAGACUCCUACGGGAGGCAGCAGUAGGGAAUCUUCCGCAAUGGGCGAAAGCCUGACGGAGCAACGCCGCGUGAGUGAUGAAGGUCUUCGGAUCGUAAAACUCUGUUAUUAGGGAAGAACAAAUGUGUAAGUAACUAUGCACGUCUUGACGGUACCUAAUCAGAAAGCCACGGCUAACUACGUG